UGAACGCUGGCGGUAUGCCUAACACAUGCAAGUCGUACGGGAGUUUUUAACUCAAGUGGCGGACGGGUGAGUAACACGUAAGAAUUUACCUUUAGGAGGGGGAUAACAUCGUAUACUUGUAUACUACGGAAACGGUUGCUAAUACCCCAUAUGCUUUUAAGUGAAAUGAUAUUUUAAUGUUAGUUUCAUAUAACAUUUGGUUUUUUAAUAUUAAAAAAAUAUUGCCUAAAGAGAAGCUUGCGGCUGAUUAGCUUGUUGGUAAGGUAAUGGCUUACCAAGGCGACGAUCAGUAUCUGGUUUGAGAGGAUGAUCAGACACACUGGAACUGAGACACGGUCCAGACUCCUACGGGAGGCAGCAGUGGGGAAUUUUCCGCAAUGGGCGAAAGCCUGACGGAGCAAUACCGCGUGAGGGAUGACUGCCUAUGGGUUGUAAACCUCUUUUUUCAGGGAGGAAGAAAUGACGUGUACCUGAAGAAUAAGCAUCGGCUAACUCC
rnacentral:rRNA from 1 species